GUCCACGCCCUAAACGAUGUCGACUAGGUGUUGGGGAAGGAGACUUCCUUAGUACCGCAGCUAACGCGUGAAGUCGACCGCCUGGGGAGUACGGUCGCAAGAUUAAAACUCAAAGGAAUUGACGGGGACCCGCACAAGCGGUGGAUGAUGUGGAUUAAUUCGAUGCAACGCGAAAACCUUACCUACCCUUGACAUGCCAGGAAGUCUGCUGAGAGGUGGAUGUGCCCGAAAGGGAACCUGGACACAGGUGCUGCAUGGCUGUCGU
rnacentral:rRNA from 1 species